rnacentral:rRNA from 1 species
UACGGAGGAUCCAAGCGUUAUCCGGAUUUAUUGGGUUUAAAGGGUGCGUAGGCGGCCUGUUAAGUCAGGGGUGAAAGACGGUAGCUCAACUAUCGCAGUGCCCUUGAUACUGAUGGGCUUGAAUGUACUAGAGGUAGGCGGAAUGUGACAAGUAGCGGUGAAAUGCAUAGAUAUGUCACAGAACACCAAUUGCGAAGGCAGCUUACUAUGGUUUUAUUGACACUGAGGCACGAAAGCGUGGGGAUCAAACAGG